GAUGAAGAACGUAGCGAAAUGCGAUAAGUAAUGUGAAUUGCAGAAUUCAGUGAAUCAUCGAAUCUUUGAACGCACAUUGCGCCCGCCAGUAUUCUGGCGGGCAUGCCUGUUCGAGCGUCAUUUCAACCAUCAAGCCCCAGGCUUGUGUUGGGGACCUGCGGCUGCCGCAGGCCCUGAAAACCAGUGGCGGGCUCGCUGUCACACCGGGCGUAGUAGAUUUUAUCUCGCUCAGGGCGUGCUGUGGGUUCCGGCCGUUAAAAGCCUUUUUUACCCAAGGUUGACCUCGGAUCAGGUAGGAAUACCCGCUGAACUUAAGCAUAUCAAUAAGCGGAGGA
rnacentral:misc_RNA from 1 species